rnacentral:ncRNA from 1 species
GUAGCCAAGCGACAUUAAAUAAUUUUGGCCUUAUGCAAGUCAGCGUUCUUUGCUGGCGACACUUUCGAAUUGCGGGGAACCCCUAAGAGCCUUUUGCACCAAACCAGACUUGGGAAACCUUCUGGCGGCCCGUGGGAAACUACGGGGUAUGGUAAUAGUCAAAAGGAUGAGCUGCAUCACUGCAGCGAAAUGGGCAAUCCGCAGCGAAGCCCCUGCUGUUCAUGGUAAUUUAUUUAUAAGUAACCAAACAUGGGGAACGUUCACAGACUAAGUGGAAGUGGGUGGAGUAUUCUCUGAAUACUCUGCUUAAGAUAUAGUCGGGCCCCUUUGGAAACUCUGGGGAUGGGAUUCCAACGUCACGUUGGCGUCCCUGCAAAGCUGUUCCGUAGGUGAACCUGCGGAAGGAUCAUUA